rnacentral:rRNA from 1 species
GCACGUGCCCCCACCCCGGCCCCAAAAUUCCCCAAUCUGCCCAGCGCCCCCGGUCUCCGCAGCUUCUCCCUACCCGCACUGCCGCGCACCGCCAAAUCCUCCUCGAAUUCCGCCGAUCCGGUCGGCCCCUCGUCGGAACCGCCCGCCCCGCGCACCUCCGAUCCCCGCCGCCGGUGGUCGCCCGCGAGGCCAGGCGAGUCGGCGGCCCGUCACCCGCCCCCCGCGCCGUCGCCGGCUCUACCAAGGAGAAGAUCCUUAUGAGUUGGUUGGCUGUGAAUUCAUAUAAAUUCUGGUACUGUGAAAAUGGGUCAAAAGGUGGCAGGAAGUUCGUGACGAGAUUAACCAUAGACGAUUGAGGCCUGAGUGGAUUUAGGAAGAUCAGAUACAGUGAAAAGGGAGCGCAGUCGUGAUGGACAGAGCUGGCGGUAACCAAGCAGGCCAGGUGUCGAAGAAAGGAAAGAAGAAGCACGCGAAAGACGAGUCAGACCGGCAGAAGCAGGCUGAGAAGAAGAGGCGCCGGCUGGAGAAAGCGCUCGCAAACUCUGCCGCGAUCAUCUCGGAACUGGAGAAGAAGCGGCAGCAGAAACAGGAGGAGCAGAGGAGGCUGGACGACGAAGGGGCCGCGAUAGCCGAGGCGGUGGCCCUUCAUGUCCUCAUAGGCGAAGACUGCGAUGAACCCCGUCAGCUGAGGUGGAACGGCCAUAGAGGCCGCGGCCAUCGGGACGAUUUCGUGGAUCACGAACCGGCUCUAGGCGCGCAAGGAGCAGGAGCAGAUACCUAUCCAUAUGGAAGCCGGUCACCGCUGGCACGGGCCCCUCGUUCCCACGUGCCCCAGUGGAGGCUCACCGACUGUGGCAUGUCCGGGCCAUUCUCGUUCUCAUCGUGGGAGCGAAUGGGCGAUUUUGAGGGGCUAUACUGCGAAGGGGCACCCUGCCAGACAGACCAAGACACUUACUGCCACGGCCUCGUAGCAGCAACCCAGGCCGUCUCUCCAUUCGGAUACGGUUCGGAGGAUCCAUUCCCUGCCCAUGGAACGGAGGGGGCUUCCUCCAUCAACAUCAUGCUGGGCGGCACCAGCAACAGCCUGAACAUCUACAGAAGACAAUUCUAGAUCAUAGUUACUUUCUUUUUUACACCAAAGGUCGAUCUUUUCAUUUGCUGUGAUACUUAGUGUUGCGCCGAGAAACCAAAAGUGGAUAUAGGAUAUAUAGGAGCCGUCUUACUGUCGAGUCGAAGCAGAAGCGGUGUGUAUUUGGCGUCAGUUUGUUACAGACAGUGGGUUUUUGUGAUGAAUUAUUAAUAUAUGUUUUUGCUUUUACCAGAGGGUGAUGUGUAUGUGUAGCUCAAUUUGUUGCUGCAUGCUCCAGUCCCAGUGUGUUUGCACCAGAUGGAGAUGAGAUUUGGUUGUGGUAGUGCUGGUCGG